rnacentral:rRNA from 1 species
AUUGAACGCUGGCGGCAUGCUUUACACAUGCAAGUCGAACGGCAGCGCGGGCUUCGGCCUGGCGGCGAGUGGCGAACGGGUGAGUAAUGCAUCGGAACGUGCCCAGUAGUUGGGGCUAGCGCGGCGACAGCCGGAUUAAUACCGCAUACGACCUGAGGGUGUAAGCGGGGGACCGGAAGGCCUCGCGCCAUUGGAGCGGCCGAUGUCGGAUUAGCUAGUUGGUGGGGUAAAGGCUUACCAAGGCGACGAUCCGUAGCUGGUCUGAGAGGACGACCAGCCACACUGGAACUGAGACACGGCCCAGACUCCUACGGGAGGCAGCAGUGGGGAAUUUUGGACAAUGGGGGCAAGCCUGAUCCAGCCAUGCCGCGUGCGUGAAGAAGGCCUUCGGGUUGUAAACCGCUUUUGUUCGGGAAGAAAUCCUGUGGGUUAAUACCCCGGGGGGAUGACGGUACCGGAAGAAUAAGCACCGGCUAACUACGUG